rnacentral:rRNA from 1 species
GUGGGGAAUAUUGGGCAAUGGGCGAAAGCCUGACCCAGCAACGCCGCGUGAGGGAAGAAGGCCUUCGGGUUGUAAACCUCUGUCCUUGGUGACGAAAAAAAUGACGGUAGCCAAGGAGGAAGCCCCGGCUAACUACGUGCCAGCAGCCGCGGUAAUACGUAGGGGGCGAGCGUUGUCCGGAAUUACUGGGCGUAAAGGGUGCGUAGGUGGCCUUUUAAGUUGGAUGUGAAAUACCCGGGCUUAACUUGGGGGGUGCAUCUAAUACUGGAGGGCUAGAGUGCAGGAGAGGGAAGCGGAAUUCCUAGUGUAGCGGUGAAAUGCGUAGAUAUGCGGAGGAACACCGAUGGCGAAGGCAAUCCCCUGGGCCUGCACUGACGCUCAUGCACGAAAGCGUGGGGAGCAAACAGGAUUAGAUACCCUGGUAGUCC